rnacentral:lncRNA from 1 species
CACUUGCGGAGAUCUUUCAUUUAGGUUUUUUUUGUUUUUGUUUUUUUUUUGUUUGUUGUUUGUUUGUUUUCCCCCAGAGUGUCUUGGCUUUCCAUGCCUGAAAUACUCUCAUGGGCUUUUCAGCCGGAUCCGCAUGCCUUAAGGGCUGAUUCUGAGGCCAGAGUGCUGUUGAGGACAUCUGCCAUUCUAUGGGUCUGCUGUGUAUCUCACUUCCCAUGUUGGUUCGUUCUCUCCCUGUUUUAUUCUAUCAGCUAGUAUUUGCAAAAACUAUGAAUUUAAAAAUUCUUUUGCACAACACAAAAGUGAACUUAUUUCUAAUUUCAUAUUUCACAGGCCUUCUGAAGCACCCUUAGGUGGUGAUAGCUGCUACUGAUGAUGAUGUUGGACCUCCCUUGGCAAAUAAAACUACAGCACCUCUAUCACAUGUCUGGUGGAGCAGCAUAAAAUGAGAACAUACAUAACAGUAACACUUUUGAAAAGUGUGUUUAAUCAUUUAUUUGAGAGAGAAGAGAGAGAGAGAGAGAAGCACCUAGCUUGGGCACUUGGAAGCUGGAGUAGAGUAUUUAGGACUAAUUUUUGGCUGCAAGAAACUGAGGAAGUGAGAACUGUAGUGGCUUAAACAAGGUAUAAAUACACAUUUCUUGCUCUUUUUCUUUUAAAUCUAAGCAUACUCUUGCUUCCGACUAUAAAAUAAUUACAGAUACUGCAUUAGACUUCUUAUAAACUACUAGAAAAAUGAACAAACUAUCUGAAACAAGUGUUUUCAGAUGUGAAAGUUUGUGUGUGACAUUCAUCCUUGAAAUAAGGGUGACAGAAUGGGACUUCUGGUCGUCACCUAUUUCUCCCUGAACAGAGAGAAGAAACAGGCAGAGUUCAACAGACUUGUGAAACCAGAGAGUUUAAAGUGACUGCAACAGCUAGAAUUUACAGAGCGUGUACCAGAAAAGAAGGAACUAGGCAGAGAAAAUGCUAAAAGCUCAACAUAGAGAUCCUCCUAGUUUUGGACAUAAUACUAAGAAGCACAUAUAUAGGAUGAGAUUCUACAAAGCCAGGCAAACAGAAUAACUCUUGGAAAUCUGGAAACUGAACUAAUCCUAGAGUCUGAAGCUCCUUGAACACUCGGUAAAUAUUCAGUGGAGAUUCCAGAAAAAUCACAUCUUAGGAAGAUAAGAUCACAUUUUGCUAUCUUUACAAUAAACCCUAAUUUUGACCUGCCCA